AUUUUAAGUAUUGUGUUUAGCUAUAUCUUUCAAGUAGUUCAACAUGUCACAUAUCUUUAAUUACUAUACAAGCACAAUGAUCAAAUGAUUAAAAACUGCCCUUUUUUAAUUAUUAUUUUUUAAAGGGACACACCACCCAAAACAAUUUCAUCUCAAUUAAGUUGCUAUUUGGACUGGAGUCCCAGUGCACCAUCUUACCUUAUGGCAUUAAAAUGCUUUAGAACGGUUUAAUACCAAAUCUGUGUCCCCUGGUUUCUGCCUGUAGGGCCUCAUAACUGGUUUCAGUGGCUGCGAUAUCGAUAAAGGAUUGGGAUGGCGACAGUUGAUAUUCUCAGACAAUUGCUGGCUGCCCAUUGCACGUAACAUUACACACAAACAUGUAACAAUUGGGGGGGCAGAUACUGACUGCCUAACUGACCAGACCUGCUCUGCAAGAACUCCGGAGUCUGGUUCUGAAAAACGGGGGCUACUCCCUGGCCACUCAGUUUUG